UGUAAGCCCUGAUCACAAUGAGAGAAGGCUUGUUCUGAUCUUCCCUAAAGUGGCGCACAGAAGGGCCCACUGUAGAUAACUAGUAGAGAUCCUCUGGAGCACAGAUGGCGCCACUUUAAAUAACUAUGCUGUGACCUCACCACUGUGCCCCUCCCUCUAUAAAAGCUGGGGGUAAGGCCCUGGCAGGGUGGAGAGUAGUUGUGUGGUCUUUGGAUUGUUUGCCUGCUGGAUUCUUCUUGUCAGAUGAGGCAUGGUAGGCCAUUGGUGAAAUGCAAGCUCCUGGGAUAUCAAGCUGAUGCUGGAGAGACAGAGCAUGAACAGGGGAGGGUCAGAGAAAGAGGGAGACACAGAAUCCGAAACAGGCUCCAGGCUCCUAGCUGUCAGCACAGAGCCCGACGCGGGGCUCGAACUCACGGACUGCGAGAUCGUGACCUGAGCCCAAGUCGGCCGCUUAACCAACUGAGCCACCUAGGCUAGUCCAAUUUUUUUAAAAGUUUUGAUUGUAAUGAGAACACUUUAUGUGAGAUCUAUCCUCUUAACGAAUUUAAGUAUAUAUUAUUGUUGGCCAUACUUAAAAUGUUGUACAGCCCUCUAGAGCUUUUUACUUGAGUCUGGUUGACACACAAUGUUACGUUAGUGUCAGGUGUGCAACACAGUGAUUCAACAAGCUUAUGCAUCAGGCUAUGCUCACAGCAAGUGUAGCUACCAUCUGUCCCCACAUAUCGCUAUUACAGUAUCACGGACUGUAUUCCCUAUGCUGUGCCUUUUGUUCCCAUGAUUUAUUCAUUCCGUACAUGGAAGCCUGAAACUCCCACUCUCUUUACCCAUUUUGCCCAAACCUCUAUCCCUUUGCCCUCUGGAAACCAUCAGUUUGUUCUCUGUAUUUAUAGGUAUGAUUCUAACUUUUUGUUGAUUUUGUUUAGAUUCCACUUAUGGGUGAAAUCACAUGGUAUUUGUCUUUCUCUGCCUGACUUAUUUCACUUAGCAUAAUACCCUCUAGGUCCUUCCAUGGUGCCUCAAAUGGCAUAAUCUCACCUCACCUUUUAAAUGGCUACACAUUAUCUACCCACCCCCCCCCGACCCCUGUGUGUAUGUGUAUGCAUGUAUGUGUACCACAUCUUAUCCAUUCAUAUAUUGAUGGACAUUUGGGUUGGCUAUCAUGAAUAAUGCUGCAGUAAACAAACAUAAGGGUGCAUAUAAA